rnacentral:lncRNA from 1 species
AGACUAGACUAGACUCCAUAGGGAGUUCUCUGAUGGAUUAGUAUUGGCCACCUGUCAUGUGUGGGAGAGAUAUUUUUACACUCACCUUAGGCAUGGCUGCAGCAAAUUACAACAAACAAAGCCUAUAUUGUUUGUGUGUUACAGGCCCAGACUGACUUGGUGGAGUUAAAUAAACAGAACAGAGAUGGACUGAGUCCCCUGAUGCUGGCUGUAAGGGAUGUGGAUCUGUUUGAAGAACUGGAGAUGCCGUGGGACUAUAAACCUGUGGAAGUGUUGAAAGAACUUAUGUCUCUUCUGGUGUAAGGAAUCCAAUUUCAGUUGGAUUUGUUAUGGAAAUGUAAAAUAUAAACAACAAAUAGAAAUGCAGCGUAUUUGGAAGAUGUAUAAUUGUAAACAGUAAAAUGGAAUUUAAGAUGAAUGGUAAUUUAAUAGGCCCCUCGCAUUAAAAACAGUCACUAAUCCACCUGCUCUGAUUUCCAGUGAUAUGAAGAUCCUUGAUGGAAGAGGUCCUAGUGCUCUGUGGUGCGUCUCUCAGAUCAAGAGCACCAAGAAGGAAGAACUCUUCCGUAUAGUGGAUUUAUCAAUGCAAACAGAAAGAAUCAGCUGAGACUUUAAAGGCACAAAAGGAUCAUGCAGACAUCCACCAAGGUGAGUCAACAACUAGACUAGAAAAAUUUAUUGUUAAUCUUAGAAGACAGAACAUUGUAUCAGAGGUACACCUGCAGGAUCAUUCCAGAAUGACAUUGACUCUGUGUCCACCUUUUCCACCACCCUGAAACAGACAUUUACACACACAGACACACACAGAGCUGUCUCAGUCUCUCAGCCCAUCCCUCAGAGAUCCAUGAAAAUAGGAGGGGUGUGUCUGACUGCUUUUUGGGCUCCUCUGUUUUAAAUGAGUCAGACUUCACGGAGUCGUCAACAGAGAACCUCUGACACUCACAGAUAAGGAUUAUGCAAGACUCGGAGGAACUGUAAAACAUUUGGUUUCACUGAAGCUUGUGCUAAUUUAGAGAGGACUGACUUUUUGAAAGGUACUUUCUGCAUAUAUUGCAUAUUUAGUUAACAUGUUGUGUGUGUAUAGUUUGGGGUCUUUAAGAUUUUUAAGCUAUUAUUUAAAGACUAAUUUACAAUUUAAACAGCUUGUGCUAAUUUAGAGAGGACUGACUUUUUUGAAAGGUACUUUCUGCAUUAUAUUGCAUAUUUAGUUAACAAUGUUGUGUGUGUAUAGUUUGGGGUCUUUAAGAUUUUUUAAGCAUUAUUUAAAGACAAUUUACAAUUUAAAACAGCUGUUUUCUUUUUCAUUUAUUUGAAAAUGUAAUUUAUUCCUGUGACGACAAAGUUGAAUUUUUAAGUAGUCAUUACUCCAAACCUUUGU